UACGUAGGUGGCAAGCGUUGUCCGGAAUUAUUGGGCGUAAAGCGCGCGCAGGCGGUCCUUUAAGUCUGAUGUGAAAGCCCACGGCUCAACCGUGGAGGGUCAUUGGAAACUGGGGGACUUGAGUGCAGGAGAGAAGAGUGGAAUUCCACGUGUAGCGGUGAAAUGCGUAGAGAUGUGGAGGAACACCAGUGGCGAAGGCGACACGCUGGGCCGUACCUGACGCUAAAGCGCGACAGCAUGGGGAGCAAACGGG
rnacentral:rRNA from 1 species